rnacentral:lncRNA from 1 species
UCCCCCCCUCAGUACCAAUGAAAAACAAAAAAAGAAAAAAGAAAAACGAGGAAAACCAAAAGACAAAAGAAAAAAAGAAAAGAGUAAAACGCUUUGCUCUCUUACGUUACCUCCAUGGAACGCUGGAUGGAAUGCUGCUAGAAGUGUCACUGUGAUCCUCUAUUCUAAGCCGCCGGAGGAAAGAGCUAGCUACUGUGAUCAGCUAUGGAAGGAUAUGGCCUAAAGCGAGCGUCUGGAUUCCCUCCUCUCUGGGAUUGUCUA